rnacentral:misc_RNA from 1 species
GUUAAACAUGUUAAAUUCUAAAAAAUUAAUCACAAUUCCUUCACAAUAGUAAUGAAUCAAUGUAACAAUGAAGAGUACUGAUAAUACCUACUCAAAAGUUCUGAAACUACACAUCUUAUCUCAUAUAACAUGUUAAUUAAAUUACAAGAAAAAAAUUCAUGUUCUACAUAAAAAAGAACAACUAAUAGAGAUGCCAUAUAGAAUCAUCUAUUAUAUACACAUCAAACAAAUCAAAUUAUUAACAUCUUCAAACCUCCGGUAAACAAAUAAAAUGAUAACAUGCUUAGCCUCUAGUAACUGAAGAAUGACUCAGAUGAGAAAGGUUUUGCAGGCCAGGAUCAUAAAGAAGUUCAUGCAAAACAUGAAGUUGAAGUUCAUUCACCAAACAACCGACUGAACAAAAAUGCAUUUCUAGAAGCAUCUACCUCUGUAAGAAGAUACAACAGUGGCAGUACGAAAUAAAAUAAUUCACAUUUCUUUCUUUUUUUUUUUUCUUUGUUGCUUUCCAUAUAUUACAUAUGAUUAGAAUGA